rnacentral:rRNA from 1 species
UACGUAGGGUGCGAGCGUUAAUCGGAAUUACUGGGCGUAAAGCGUGCGCAGGCGGUUUUGUAAGCCAGAUGUGAAAUCCCCGGGCUUAACCUGGGAAUGGCAUUUGGGACUGCAAGGCUGGAGUGUGGCAGAGGAGACUGGAAUUCCUGGUGUAGCGGUGAAAUGCGUAGAUAUCGGAAGGAACACCAGUGGCGAAAGCGGCUUCCUGGUCCAGCACCGACGUUCAGGCACGAAAGCGUGGGGAGCAAACAGG